GGACUACCGGGGUAUCUAAUCCUGUUUGCUCCCCACGCUUUCGCGUCUCAGCGUCAGUCACUGUCCAGAAGGCCGCCUUCGCCACCGGUGUUCCUCUCGAUAUCUACGAAUUUCACCUCUACACCGAGAAUUCCGCCUUCCUCUCCAGGACUCAAGCCUCGCAGUAUCGAAUGCACUUCCUAGGUUGAGCCCAGGGCUUUCACAUCCGACUUGCGGGGCUGCCUACACGCGCUUUACGCCCAGUAAUUCCGAACAACGUUUGCACCCUCUGUCUUACCGCGGCGGCUGGCAC
rnacentral:rRNA from 1 species